rnacentral:other from 1 species
CAUUGGCAGAGAGACAACACAGACUGACAGAGUUGAGGCAUCUCGAGUGUGAGAGACCUAUACCCUCACUCUUCUCAGUUGAAGCCUGUUGCUGCAUUGCCUGGGAAUUCUGGCUGCCUGCUGAGGAGAGCAAGUGGCCAACAGCUAGGGCAAGAUGAAGCUUUCUCUGGUGGCCGUGGUUCUGCUG